CCGCGUGUAUGAAGAAGGCCUUCGGGUUGUAAAGUACUUUCAGCGGGGAGGAAGGCGACAGGGUUAAUAACCCUGUCGAUUGACGUUACCCGCAGAAGAAGCACCGGCUAACUCCGUGCCAGCAGCCGCGGUAAUACGUAGGUGGCAAGCGUUGUCCGGAUUUAUUGGGCGUAAAGCGAGCGCAGGCGGUCUGUCAAGUCGGAUGUGAAAUCCCCGGGCUCAACCUGGGAACUGCAUUCGAAACUGGCAGGCUAGAGUCUUGUAGAGGGGGGUAGAAUUCCAGGU
rnacentral:rRNA from 1 species